rnacentral:rRNA from 1 species
UACGAAGGGGGCGAGCGUUGUUCGGAUUUACUGGGCGUAAAGGGCGCGCAGGCGGCGACCCAAGUCAGGCGUGAAAGCCUCUGGCUUAACCUGGGAGGUGCGUCUGGGACUGGGUGGCUAGAGAUCGGGAGAGGAGAGUGGAAUUCCCAGUGUAGAGGUGAAAUGCGUAGAUAUCAGGAGGAACACCUGUGGCGAAAGCGGCGCACUGGACCACAACUGACGCUGAGGCGCGAAAGCUAGGGGAGCAAACAGG